CAGGCUGAGUUUUAGAAACAUUAUUAAUUACAAUAAUAAUUUAGGGUUGUGCAAUUCACUCUGGCUUGA
rnacentral:tRNA from 1 species